AUUUUUGGUUGUCUUUUUUUCCCAAGGCUAAACAUCUCACACCCAGCAACUUGGCGGCACUACAGGCAUGCUCACUGGAAGGCCAAAGGACAUACCCGGUAGAGGUCUGGAAGCUUCUCUUCCAAAAGGCUUUGACUUCAUUAGACCAGGCUCUGGAAUUAUUUGCCACCACGGUAAAUCCAGUCCCACAAUUUCACAAAAUCUUUGCUUCCUUGUGGGAAUUCUGUGUAAUAACCAAGAUGACUUUUUCCAACCCCAGGCCGCCAACAACAGCUUCCCAAUAUUUCCACAUCUGCUCGAGGCCCUCGGAGAGGUUAGAAUUGCCAACUUCAGCGAGGCACAGCUGCAGAGUGUUGACUUUGUCAGCGGCUGGUUCCAGACAAAGUUGCGUCCGUUUUUGGCCUCUCCAUCCUCCAACUUCCUAUUCUGCCUGAGCUCCAAGAACUUCAGCUGCCAAACAUACCAGACUGUGUAAGCAAGCUAUGUGAUGUAUUGCUCCACUGUGAACCAGAUUGUAGAGGCUCCUGGCGUUUUCCUCUUUUGAGAUGUUGAAAGCAUUCUCUCAAAUUUUAGCAUCCAGGUAUUCAGCAGCCAAAGGCCAUCCAUGGACGGGGAAAGACAGCGUGCAGUCUUCACUCAUUUCAUCAAACCAUUCCUGUCAAGAAAUGACUCAUCAGGUAAAGGCAGGCGCUGCACUCAACUUGGAAAAGUCUAGGUCACAACAGUGGUGGUAUCCUGCCAAUGGGUUUGUUUCCGUCUUCUUUGCAGAUCCUGGCUGUGUCUCAUCUACCAACGGGAGCGGAGACUGGCUGCAGACAAAUAUUGGCGGCUUCUCUGAAUAUGCGACCCUGCAGGAUUUGAAAGGCCUCAAUCCCAACUUCUCAAGUAACGAAUCGUUGUCGGCCCUCACUUCUGCUCAGUUGGCACAGCUGACACUGAGCUCGGGGGCGUCGAACGACACAGACCAAAUCGACCGUGUGUUUGGACGACUUGAGGUGGGCAAUGCUCUGGAAAAUGUGGAGGAAUUCCUGACAGAGCUGACAGCGAAAGGACAGGAACCCGAUUUCCAACCUGCUGUGAGAGAUCGCGUAAUGAACAGGACCUUCCUCAUCAUCGGCCCCCAUUUCCCGCACUUUGAGACAAAGGACUGGUUUGUUUGGUUCCACGUGAAACUGGUUCCUGUCCUCGCCAGUUUCAGUGCAGUGAUGCUCGAGAAUGCAACCUCAAACAUGAACUGCUCCAACUACCAUGUUGUGUGA
rnacentral:lncRNA from 1 species